rnacentral:lncRNA from 1 species
CAGAGUAAAAAAGAAAGUGGUCUGCCAUCGACAAAUCAGUUAGCACAGCAAACUUCAGUGUAGUAUAUGUUUCUCUGGGAAUUCAGACAAGUUCACCCUGUAUGUUGCGUGCAUCGUCCAUGAAUUGCAUUGCAUCGAAAAUACAGACUAAUCGCAUACUAAGUAGUAGUAGCUCUUAGCAACAAGAAUAUGGUAACAGUCGUAAUGGAGACAUAUAAAUAGAUAGAUAGAUAUAUAGCGUAUGUCGAUAGAUACAAGAAGAGCUCAAGUCAGAAGACAAAAGGGAGGUGGUUUCGCUGCGGCUGGUGGUACGUGGCUAGCUACUGUACUUAGUACUGCUACUCCUUUUCUCUGCGAAGAAGAAAUGCCUGGCAACAAAUCAGUCGAGGCCGGACCUGAUCCUCUUGUGGCCGGCGCCCGCCUGGUGGCGGACGGUGCCCACGGACCCGCCCUCGGACGCGGCGCGGCCGCCGCCGCCGUCGGCCGCGGCGAAGAGCGAGGAGAGGUCGGCGUAGAGGUCGACGACGCGGCGGAUGUUGUUGUUGAGCUCCCUGAUGAGGCCCACGUUGCGGGAGAGGUCGCCGGGCACCUUGGACUCGUGGUUGUGGUUGAUCUCGUUGAUCAGGAGGCGGUUCUGGUCCAGCAGCGUCUGCACCUGCACGAAGCUGGUCUGGAACGCGUGCAGCACCUUGGUGUCCACGCCGGGGGCCCCGGCACCGCCGAACCCGGACAGCGUCGUCUCGCCGCCCUCCAUCCCUUAUCGAUCUCCUCCUCUCUCCUGUUGCUGUUGGUGGUCGUCGUCGUCGUGCGCGCGGUCAAUUCUGCACUCCUGUGGGCUUGUGCGCGCGCAGAGUCUGCAAUGGAGAGGAGCGGGAAUCGGUGAGCACGCAACUCGCAGGAGAUGGGGAGGCUGCCUGGGAUAAGGAAGGAGGAGGAUUUGGUUCACAGAGUGCGCGAAUUAAAAAAAAAUGAGUAGUACUUUUUAAAAGCGCCAAGGGCGGAGACAAGUUUCACUAUUCGGACAUGAGGGGGGUACUAUGCUACAAGAUCAGACGUAGUACUUGCCGAAUCUUUCCAGCUUGGGCCCUAAAAAUCGGCACAGAUCUCGGAAUUAACUGCCGCGAUUUCCUUCCCCCCUUGCUGCCUGUACUCGAAGGGAAGGCGGACACCUUGAUCAUCGAUCCAUGACGACGAACGAGAUAAAAAAAAAGGAAUCCGGGUAAACGAAAAGGUGGUUGAGGGGAACGAAACGGUUGAGAUCCGGAGCUGCGCGCAGAGUUCCCGAGAGCACGUGGAGACGACCUCGGGAGCGAGGCGAAGAGGGCGGCGGAGACCCGGGAAUCGGGUCCGCCCGCCGGGGGCGACGGAGCACGGACCGUGGAGCCGGGUCGAGGCGAAAUCGCAGCGAACCUGUCAGUGACUGCAGGGCAGGGCAGGGGUGGAGGAAUUCAGGCGCGGGCGGAUCGGACGCAGCAUCCCCUGCCCGAACACGGUGUUGAGCAAGAGGAACGAACGGGUGAAUCGAGCUCCGGUCAGCUCAGCACCAGGACGAUUCCCGACGAGAGAAGAGAGGAGGAGGGGGCGGGUGGUGGUGGUGGUGGUUACCUCGUCGUAGUAGUAGUAGUACGCCGCCGCCGCCGUAGCAGCAGCACCUCCGGCGAGGUGAGCACUGAGCAGGGUCCUUGCUUGCUAUCUAUGCUUCAGAUGCGCAGGUCAGAGGAGGAGAGGGAAGCCGCGAGAGAGCGAGCGAGGAGGGGAUGGGUGGAGGAGGUGGAUGACGAUGGGGAGGGAGCAGGGGAGGGGGGAGGAGGAGAUCAGGAGAUCCUCAGACACACGAAACAGGCACAGGCAGGCUGGACUGUUUUUUUUUUUAAUUAUUGCCGAGAAUGUUCGGCCGGUUUCUCUAGAGGAGAAGAGAGGAGGCAGCGGCGAGAGACGGCGAGAUUUGAGACACGUCUUGCCUCUGCUCUCGCAGCCGUCUCGUCUCUCGUCUGUGUGCGGCGCCCGCUGGCUGGAUUCGGUGUACUACGCGGCUGUCUGCUGAUAUUUCUCUGCCCGUGCAUUGACCGGCAAGAGUUUCGAAUAUUUUAGCUAAAAAUAUUUAUUUAUUUAUUUAUUUAUUUAGCCUAUUGCCUGUGCCCUCUCUCUCUGGCAUUGUAGCAACUCUCAAUUUAAUCUGUCAAAGCCUCUUCAAAGGUACUCCCUCCAGUGCAGUAAAGGUAGUCGUUUAGGACAUGAUUGUGCAUACCAAGGAGUGAUUAAUUAUCAUAGAGUUUUCCCUGUUUGCCCAUAUUAAAUAGGAAUAUGGGUGCAUUAACAUCACUAAAAUAAUCAGGCUUGAUUGGUUGCUGCAGCAGCUCCAAGGCAUUCUAGACUGAAGGUCUUAAAUGCAUCUUUUUUUGUGCAAUUACUAGGGGCAACAACGUCCAAAUCCCAGACCCACGCGCGCUAUGACUUCUUUUUGUGCACGCUCGGUCACGCGCAGGAUGACUUCUUUUACUACACCGGAGGGAGUACUACUCAAGUCAAAUUGAUGAAUACCGGAGUGCAGAGCAGCAGUACGAGUACAGUACAGUGGACGGAAUGGCUAGAAACUUUUCGACCCAAGGAGUGUGGAAUUCAGGUCAAAUUUCUUGGAAUUGCCAGACAAUUAAUGGCAUGUGCCGUCAACAGUACCUACCUUAAAGUCAUCUUCCUUCUCUGCACACGCAUUCGAAGUUUCAAACCUUUGUAGUGAACAUUUUUUAUAUACUACUCGUGCAGCAGUGUGACAUCUCUUGCUCGUAACCUAACAUACGUCUUAGUCAGCGUCUGUUUUAUCGAUCCGAUGCUAUAUAAUCACAUUUACUUAUGUAUUUAUUAGUGGAAUAAAUUUAUAGACACUCUAUUAUAUAAUAGAGUCUUUUAUUAUCUCUUGUGCUUGAAAAACUGUUUUGAUGUCUCUCCACUAUACAUGCUCUUACGUCAAACAAAUUUGGUACCAUAGUAUUAAUAUCUAAAGUUACUUUCAACUCUUUAGACUUUAUAGUCAUCUAGAGAUUACAAUUAUAUACUACUCUCUUCGUUCUAAACUAUAAUCCUUUUGCAUUUUUGUGUCAAGUUUGACUGAUUCGUCUAAUUCAAUUUAUAGAAGAAAAAAAAUAAAAAAGUCAAAAUCAUACAUAUAUAUGAUAAACAAUAUUACACUAAAAAUUAUUGUUAUUAUGAAAAAUUUUAAAUAAGACGAGCUAAUUAAGCUUAGACUAAAAAGACAAACGAACUACAAAUUAGAUCUGGUAAAGUACUUUUACGCGAGUUUUUGCAUGAGUAAUGCACGCAUGCACGACGCAACGGCCAAAAAAAACAAAAAGAAAGCAUGCUAGGAUGCAUGAAGAGCGGUGUAUUCCGCUUCUAGAACUUUGUAGAGGCCUAAAUAUUGUACCGCUAUGUCUUGACAGCCUGUUAAUCCGAGGUUAUUUGCAGGUAUAAAUACUCAUUUUAAAAUAAAUCCCUCGAAUGACAGGUAUUUUAAGUCUAAACGGUCUUAAAUAAAAAAUAUCAACUAAUUCCUCUACUUUUAUAUUUCAAAUUAUAAGAUGUUUUAAUUUUAAAAAUACAAAACUGUUGCUAUACAUUUAGAUAUAUGUUAUGUUUAUAUACAUAGCAAAGAUACGUAAUAAAAUUAAUAUAUCCGAAAAAGGUAUUUUUUUUAUAAUUUUUAAACAGAAAAGGCAAGAAAUUAUGGAUCAUGUUGAGAGCUGCAACUUCGGUUUACACUGUAUGAACAUUAGAGGUCGUUUGGAAAAAAAAAGUUUCGAAAUCAAAGACAUUUAAAGUGAAUAUUUGUGUCCCUAAACGACCCCAGUUAAAAAUAUUAUUAACUAUAAAGUUAUAGAAUUCACUGAAAACUACAACUCUGGUAUAUAUCAAUAUCCAAUGUUAUUUUUUUUAAAAAAAUGAAUUCUAAAAUCUAGCGAUUUAAAAAAUAUUUAGAAUAUAUUAAAUAAAAAGAUAGCAAUAGAAAUACAAUUUAAGUAUAAAGUUUAUAUCAAUACGACUUACAUGGUGAAGUUAUGUUUUUUAUAUAUAAGAGAAGGGGAGAUAACAAAUGAUAGGGAGACUAGGGUCAUCAAAGUCAUCCAAGAAAUCACUUUGAAACGGUCAAAAGUUUUUUCUAGAAAAGUUAAGGCAUACUUGUUGUCCAAUCUUGAUUUUUGAGGGGUUUAUUUUUCAAAUUUAAGGGCUAGUUCAAGGGUGGUUCAGACUUUUUUUUUGUAUGUACUCUCUCCGUUGCAAAAGCCAAAAAGAACCCAACAUGUUAACUUUAUCAAAUAUAUAUAAUAUCAAUAUUUAUAAUAACUAAUUAGUAACGUUAGAUAGUUCUUUGAAUAUAAUAAUUUUUAAAAUGUAAACUUUGCUUAAUAUUUUUUUACUAAUUCCAUCGAACUUAAAAGAAUUUGAUCAACACUCGUUCUAUAGCGUUUUUUAAUGGAGAUGGAACUAACUCGUUGGUUGGACCUUGGUAAACAUCUAAUAGCCGGCAUCACCAACAUCAUCAAAUCCCCCAACCAUGCGACGGAAAUAAAACAAGUGACAGUGACAUGUGCCAUCUUCAUCCGUAACAUUUUUCUUCAAGUUUCAUUUGGAUCCGUCAUUUUCGGCCAUGUCUGUACUUGUGCGGUUGGACACGGCACGGGAAGCUUCCCAUAAACGCCAGGACACGCUUCACGCUUGCCAAACGAACACGCAUCACUUGGCAGGCGGCACAGGCGCAGAUGCCGCGUAGCAGGGGUAGACCAGCUAGGCCACCACAAGAUCAGAUCUCCGAUCUUUUCUUCUCUCUGUAGCCAAAAUUUGCUUCGGCUACAGGGCACCGAUAGCCGUGUUUGCUGUCGACUGGUCAUUGUGUUUUCCAAGACACCGGAUUGUUCAUUUGGGAUUGAAGCUAACUUCGCACUGUUUUGUUUCCAAGACAAUCUAUAGAGACAAAAAAAAACAUUGUAUGAAUAAUAAAAAUCGAUACGGAUUAAAACCAAGUAAACAUGUUGACCAAUUUUUUUUACUAGCUUGUAGCUAAAUUUGCUCCGACCACAAGGUAUCUAUACACCAAUAUCAUUGUUUGUUAUCUAAGGUUAUCUCUAGCAGCUUACUCACAUAACUAUAUUAAACUACACUCUACAAAUAGUGCAAUUUAUAAUAUAAAACAGUGUUUUCGUUGACUAUACGAGUAAACUGCUGACACGGUCCAACAUCUACUAGUACUCUUUUAGUCCUUGUGUUUUCCAAGAUACCUAAUGAUUUCUUUUGUUUUGCUUUUGUUUCUUUUCCUUAUGAGUAUAAAUUAGCCAUAAAGUUGUUAUAACCACUACAAAGAACAAGAUCAUUUCCGGCGGCCAGAAACCGCUAAAAAUAAGCUAUAUAUCGCUGAAAAUAGUUUAUUUUCGGCAACAUAUGAUCUAUUUUUGGCGGCUUCCGACCGACGAAAAAAAUUAGCCAAAAAUAAAGACUAAUAAUGCAAAUAUACCACAUACCACUGUAAUGUACUUAUAAAAACUAAUAAUGUAAUAGUACCAGAUACUAAUAUAAAACUAAUGCCACAAAUACAAUAUACCACUAAUCACUGAACCACACACAUUAAUGGAAUUGUACUAAAAAAUAAUAUUAAUCACACACCCUAAUCAAACAAACAUAAUCACAAUUACAUACUAAUUUUGGUUGCAAUUGAAUAACGACAACCGAAAAUAUAGAAUAAAAUACGCAAAAAACAACAGUUGUAUGGAGUGGUGGCUAGCCGGAGGAGGGCUCGACGCCGGGUCGGGCUGCGUAGAGGGAGCGACGACCGAGAGUGGUGCGGGAGGAGGGUUCGGCGACCGGACGGCACGAGCAAGGGUCGGCGGCGAGUGCGGGGGCAGGUCCGGGGCGGGUGCGGGGGCGAGUCCGGUGGCGACGGCGGUGAGGCCGGGUCUGGAGCAGCGGCGCGACGAAGAGCAGCAACUGCGUCAGGAGAGAUGAGGGAUGGAGAAGGAAAGAGAGAAGAAAGUUGUGGGACUAGUUUAAAUCUGUUUAUUUCCCGCGGCUAAGUCCUCAACCGCCGAAAAUAAGUCCUCUCAUCAUUGUUGUGAACUGAAACCUCAACUUAAGAGAUCUUUGAGCCUCUGCCUUCCUAUUUACCUGUCGGCGGCCACUCUAAAAUAACUUCUUCGUCUAGUCAUUCGAUCGAAUAACGGUCUCAACAGACUCAUGAUUAGCUCUCUUAUCUUCGUAAACUUCGACAAAUUAAUGUUAUAGUAGAACCCAGUGCGAAAGAGUCUCUAGAUAAGUUGGUUAGAUGGUUCGAUGUGCUCUACACCUAAAAUCGGAUGAAAAUAUAUCUCUUGUUUCUUCGACACCUCUAUAAUCAUUCAACACCUCUAUAUUCAUUGGUUGUUUCAUAAUUACCACCAAGACGAGCCAAAUUAACAUUAUCAGUGUAUCCAAGGUUUGCAUACACUUUCAUCCCUAGACGCUUUGUGUUUGGACCGAUUGCCGCCCAACAGAUUUCUUCCUCAACCGCUUAGCUCAAGCUCAGUCAUAUCCUCGACGUGCUCCUCUUUAAUGUUGCUGACGCUAUCUCGGUGAACGGCUUCGGACGAUGUAGACAUUGGACCUAAAGCACAUCUUAGAUGUGUGCCGUUUAUUAGGGCAUGUACAAUCCUAUUUAAUAUAAAAUAACUUGAAUGAUCUCUAAAAGUUAGAUAAAAAAAUAUUAGGAAAUAAAAUAGACACAAAGAUUUACGUGGAAAAAUCACCUCCAAUAUGGAGGAGCAAACAACCACGAAGAAACAUGUCUACUAUCAACCACAGAGUACAAGUUACAGAGAGAGCCUAUAUUUAUAGGCGUAUAUGAAAGCAUAUUCCAAAACAUAUUCAAAAUAUAUAAAAGGAAUUAGAGACAUAUUACAACAAAUCUCCCUUUGACUCUAAAUCCAUAUAAAUGUUUUCCAAACGCCACUAGAAUGCUAAAUUUGAAUAUCAACCAAGUCUAAGGAAUCAUUAGACUUGAAACUGGAGCACGACUUCGUAUCAUCAAAUAACCUUUCUUCAGGAACGCAAUAGAAACAACUUCAACAUCAACUAUUGAACAUUGCAAGUAAUAGAGAUUAUUCAAACAGUUGCCCUUCAAGAUAAUACGAUUGCCACGAGAAACCUUAAGAACACCAUCAAUAGCCACAAAAUUGAAUCUCAUUGCUUCUAAAGUGCUCAGAGAAAUAAGAUCUCUCUUCAAUUUUGGAACAAAACAGACAUCUAUAAGUUUCUUAAUACUGCCAUCAUGAACUUGGAUAUAAAUAGAGCCGAUUCCAAUAAUCUCACAUGUGGAUCCAUCUCCAAUAACAACCUCACCAGCAUGCGACUGAACAUAGUCAGAAAAUCAAUCUCUAUGCGAACAAAUAUGAAAAGUGCAAGCGGAAUCGAGAACCCAAGAAGAGCACUUUUCAACUGAGGCAACAAACAGAGCUUCUCCAAUAUCCAAAGUUUCAACAAAACCUCCUUUAGCAGAAGACUUAUCCAAUUCUUUUUUCUUUCUCUCCUCUUUAUUUCUCACUUUGGGACACUGAGAAAUAUGAUGAGUAUUUUUUCUGCAAUAACAAUAAUAAAGGUUGGAUUUAUGAUCUCUAGAUCCCUGAACAAUUAAACCUUCACCUUUGGGUUCAAAACGAGAAUCAACAUCAAAAUUUUCCUUGGACAACAAAUUUGACUUAACAUUCUUAAUGGACAGUAAAGUAUGAUUACCAUAAAGCAUAAUUUCCUUAAAAUGCUAAAGAAGGGGCAAUGAGACUACCAACAAAAUUGCUUUAUCUUCAUCAUCUAUCUUCACAUCAAGACUCUCAAGGUCCACAAUAAUUGAACUAAAUUCAUUAAGAUGUGACUGCAUAGAUGUACCUUCUGACAUGCGAAUAGUGUAAAGACGAUCCUUGAGAAGUAGCUUGUUUGCAAGACUCUUGGUCAUAUACAGCUCCUCCAAUUUCUUCCACAAUGUUGCUGCGAAUUUUUGAUGCAUUAUUUAACACAGAACAUCAAAAAAUAAACUGAGUUGUAUGAUGGACAAAGCUCUCUCAUCAAUAUCAUGUCACUUAUCAUCAGUCAUGUCAGCAGGUCGUGUUUGCAACGCCUUUUGAACAACCGACUGGGUAAGAACAACCUUCAACUGAAUCUGCCAAAUAGCAAAACUAAUUUUGUCAUCAAACUUCAGAAUAUCAAAUUUAGUCGACAUAAUGCGAGAUAAAAAAAAUUCCGAAGUCAACGACCCAGUGGUGGCGGCGGCCACAAUGUGGAUAAAAACAAUGUGUCUAACCCUAGCUUUGAUACCACU